CCGUGCUAGACGGGGAGGCAGCGGUGCCCUGUACCCGCAAUCCGCUAUAGCGGGGUCGAAUUCCCAGCGGAGGCUGUCCCCUCUUGGGGUCUGGCCCCGGCAAGCGGCGAGGAAGAUUGGGUCCCACGCAAUGGAAGUCUAUGAACCCCGUCAGGACCGGGAGGUAGCAGCGGUAAGUAGAAUGUUCCAUGUGCCGUGGGGGUGCCUGGUCAGAGCUGGCUACCUGGGUAUCGCCCGGGAGAGGCUGUCGAAGGUGGGUGCACGG
rnacentral:SRP_RNA from 1 species